rnacentral:rRNA from 1 species
GACGAACGCUGGCGGCGUGCCUAAUACAUGCAAGUCGAACGCAGUGGGGACGGUUGAGUAACACGUGGGUAACCUCCCAUCAGAGGGGAUAACCCUUGGAUACAGGUGCUAAACCGAUACUGAUGGAUGGACCCGCGGUGCAUUAGCUAGUUGGUGAGGUAACGGCUCACCAAGGCCACGAUGCAUAGCCGGGCUGAGAGGAUGAUCGGCCACACUGGGACUGAGACACGGCCCAGACUCCUACGGGAGGCAGCAGUAGGGAAUAUUCGACAAUGGGCGAAAGUCUGACCGAGCAACGCCGCGUGAGUGAAGAAGGUUUUCGGAUUGUAAAACUCUGUUGUUAGAGAAGCGGUAUCUAACGAGAAAGCCACGGCUAACUACGUGCCAGCAGCCGCGGUAAUUC